GCGCAGACAGACAGAACUCUGCACACCACUGAGGGAUCUACGGGACAGGGGAAACGCAUUAUAGUGCAUGUGGAAGCCUUCAGGUUGGCGUUAGCGCUCUGGAAAUGGCCAAAGCAUUUGAAAGAGAGAACAUCCUCAGUCUGUUGUUGGAAGAGGCAGAGACUAAAUGAGACGAACCACACAUGGGUUUCAUAAACAACUUUAUGCCGACCGUAUGUGUGUUGCAGACA